CGGGUGACACAGUGACAGAGUGAGGGAGCGGGUGACACAGUGACAGAGUUAGGGAGGGAGUGACUAGUGACAGAGAGAGGGAUGGGGUGACUAGUGACAGUCACCCCCCCUCACUCUGUCACUAGUCACCCCUUCCCUCCCUCACUUUGCCACUAGUCAUCUCUUCCCUCCCUCACUCUGCCACUAGUCAUCUCUUCCCUCCCUCACUCUGCCACUAGUCACCCAUUCCCUCACUCUGUCACUAGUCACCC